GUGGAGCAUUAAAUAUGUCAUUAUCUACAGCAGGCGAGCCUUGCAAUUCUCGAAACCAUUGAUAAAUCUGCUGGUAGCAAUGUCAAUGAUCUCCCUCCUAAACUCCAUAGAGUCUCGAUACUUUUGAAUGUAGCGGGUCCAGACCUUUGGAGGAAUCUACUCGAACUGAGGGGUGUGAUGACCCCUGGGCCUUGGCAGGGACCGUGAGGUGGAAGGUGCCUA
rnacentral:lncRNA from 1 species